rnacentral:sRNA from 1 species
UACAUUCUUAAUUUAAAUUGUCAAUCACAUUAUCAAUCAAAUUUAAUCCAAACAAACUUCACAUCAAUCCCUUAAAAUUAGCAUAAACAUAUUUGUUAACAAUAUUUAAAACAAAAUUU